rnacentral:sRNA from 1 species
UCUUGACCCUACGCAUAAACCUACGAACC